rnacentral:rRNA from 1 species
GAACGCUGGCGGCGUGCCUAAUACAUGCAAGUCGAACGGUCUUUCUAUGGAAGCUUGCUUCCGCUGAGAAGAUAGUGGCGAACGGGUGAGUAACACGUGGGUAACCUGCCCAUAAGAGGGGGAUAACAUCCGGAAACGGGUGCUAAUACCGCAUAGUUUCUUGAUCGCAUGAUCGGGAAAGGAAAGACGGCCUUUGUGCUGUCGCUUAUGGAUGGACCCGCGGCGUAUUAGUUAGUUGGUGAGGUAACGGCUCACCAAGACGAUGAUACGUAGCCGACCUGAGAGGGUGAUCGGCCACAUUGGGACUGAGACACGGCCCAAACUCCUACGGGAGGCAGCAGUAGGGAAUCUUCCGCAAUGGACGAAAGUCUGACGGAGCAACGCCGCGUGAGUGAAGAAAGGGUUUUCGGAUCGUAAAACUCUGUUGUCAGAGAAGAACAAGUUGGAGAGUAACUGCUCCAGCCUUGACGGUAUCUGACCAGAAAGCCACGGCUAACUACGUGCCAGCCGCCGC